ACCAAAUGCCUCCAUCCAUUUGCCUUUGAGACAGCGGACGGAAUCGUGUUGCAGCUUCAUGACGGUGUUUUACUGUUUUUCGCUUUUACAUUUUAAAGAUGAUGAGAUAUAAAUAUCCACGCCAUUCGACCAAGCUGAAUCGAAAGAGAACAAUUCUAAAGCAACAUGUCGGAAGAUGUUCUGCAUUUCUCCACGUGAUCGCUGCCUUGUCAUGAACUAUGAAGAUGCUUCUUUGAGAGGGUCAUAUGCCAUUUGCAAGACAAAAAAAUGUGAUGAAAAGUGGAAAUCUGAAAAGGAUUACAUGGUCAGUUUGGUGUUGCUGUUCGUUGUGCAGUGGUUUUGCUGCCCUUUUCCAGUUGAGGGAUGCACUUCAAUGGAGCUUGUGCAGACUUGCAGUUAAACAUAUCAUACUUCAAUGUGUUAUAAUGCAUAUGCAGUGCCUCAUAUAGCACUGGGCCAAAUUGUUUGAGGACCUUGCCUGACGGCCGUUGAUUUUGUAGAUGUCUUCACUUGCUGCCUGUACUGGCUGUACGCCUCAUGCCAAAGCAAAACUUUCGGUGGAGAUCAACUAAUUCAUUGCCGUGCUACUGCAAUUACGGUGUUUUGUUGCAGCCAGCUGGUGAAAGGUUUGACCAAUUAAAAUUGAGCUGCUGCAUGCUGUCUGUGGUGCCGUUGUUAUUGUUGCACCAAGUUUGAAUGUUGAUAAUGUUGAUUUUUACUGGCUUGUAAUAUUUGCGACUAUUUGUCAUUUGUGUCUCCGACUAUGCAGAUUGAAAUAAGCGAGAACUGUCAGAAGAAAAAGCUUUCUGCGCCCAAAAAAUAUCAACUUUGUGUCAACGUGGUUAAGUAAGCAACAGGCUUUCUUAUGUAAGAAUCAUAAUUUAAAAAAAAUAUUGUUAACUAUAACAAAUUCCAAUAAUCACUUUUACAUUAAUAUUAAAUAAACAAUCCGUUCAGUACA